rnacentral:rRNA from 1 species
UACGUAGGGGGCAAGCGUUGUCCGGAUUUAUUGGGCGUAAAGAGCGUGUAGGCGGCUUUGCAAGUCCGUUGUGAAAACUCGAGGCUCAACCUCGAGACGCCGGUGGAAACUGCAAAGCUAGAGUCCGGAAGAGGAGAGUGGAAUUCCUGGUGUAGCGGUGAAAUGCGCAGAUAUUAGGAAGAACACCCGUGGCGAAGGCGGCUCUCUGGGACGGUACUGACGCUGAGACGCGAAAGCGUGGGGAGCGAACAGG